rnacentral:rRNA from 1 species
UACAGAGGGUGCAAGCGUUAAUCGGAAUUACUGGGCGUAAAGCGUGCGCAGGCGGUUUUGUAAGACUGACGUGAAAUCCCCGGGCUCAACCUGGGAAUGGCGUUGGUGACUGCAAGGCUAGAGUUUGGCAGAGGGGGGUAGAAUUCCACGUGUAGCAGUGAAAUGCGUAGAUAUGUGGAGGAACACCGAUGGCGAAGGCAGCCCCCUGGGUCAAAACUGACGCUCAUGCACGAAAGCGUGGGGAGCAAACAGG